rnacentral:lncRNA from 7 species
AACGUAAAACACAUCGACAGGACCAUUUAUUAUGUAACAACCAAAAGGCAACACAUGGUUCAGAUCUCAAAAAUAAGAAACCUGUCAUUUCAUAUCCGUGAACCCAUAAAUGAUAUACAAAAUACGAUAAUGAGCGACACAAUGAUGGUCAGGAUGUUAAAAAGAUCCAUCAUUCAUGUCGCACACAUCAAUCAAGAACGAUGUCAUAAAUAUAACAAAGAUGGCAGAUGCCAUGCCAUAAAUCAUGUCAAUAUAUGUGCAUGUUGAACCAAUAACAGAAAACACAAUUGAAAAAACAAAAUCAUCAGAACACUUGGCUUCUGCUAUAAAAAUGCUUCUUAUGCUUCUUUGUAGCCUAUACAUAGUUCCUCCAUAUGCUUUUAUGAUUCCCGAAAGAAAUAGGAUAAGUGAGAUGAAAAUGAAAGAAUACAGUCCAAAACUUUAGUAACUUACUUCUUUAUCCUCUAACAUUUCUUUAGAACAAUUAUUAUACAUUUCUAGUACCACAAUCGAGCCAUACAAAAAUUUUAAAGCCCAAUGUUUUCCUGUUUACCCCAUGAAAAAGGAAGAACACGAUGCCAAAUAAGUGCACACACACACAAUGGAUAGAAACUUGACUGAGUUCAGCUACAUGCAUCUCCAUGGAUACCCUCAAUUCCAUUUCUGCUAUAAAUUGUAAAGUAAGU